rnacentral:tRNA from 2 species
GGGCGUGUAGCUCAAUUGGAUAGAGUGUCGGCCUCCGAAGCCGCAGGUUGUGGGUUCAACUCCCGCCACGCCCACCA